ACGUGGCUGGCUCAGUCAGUAGAGCACAUGACUCUUGAUCUUGGGAUUGUGAGUUCGAGCCCCACGCUGAGGG
rnacentral:tRNA from 1 species